UACGUAGGGUGCUAGCGUUAUCCGGAAUCACUGGGCGUAAAGCGUGCGUAGGCGGCUUGUUAAGUGAGAUGUGAAACCGUGUGGCUCAACCAUAUCGUUGCAUUUCAUACUGGCAGGCUAGAGGACGGCAGAGGCAAGUGGAAUUGGUAGUGUAGCAGUGAAAUGCGUAGAUAUUACCAGGAACACCAAUGGCGAAGGCAGCUUGCUGGGCCGACCCUGACGCUGAGGUACGAAAGCUAGGGGAGCGAAAGGG
rnacentral:rRNA from 1 species